AUCCGACUGACGAGUCCUAAAUAGAACGAAAUGCGUAUUCUGUAU
rnacentral:hammerhead_ribozyme from 1 species